UACGAAGGGUGCAAACGUUGCUCGGAAUUAUUGGGCGUAAAGCGCACGUAGGCGGCUUUGCAAGUCGGAUGUGAAAUCCCUCGGCUUAACCAAGGAAGUGCAUCCGAAACUGCAGAGCUUGAGUACUUAAGAGGAUCGCGGAAUUCCCGGUGUAGAAGUGAAAUUCGUAGAUAUCGGGAGGAACACCAGUGGCGAAGGCGGCGAUCUGGGAAGAUACGUGACGCUGAGGUGCGAAAGCCAGGGGAGCGAACGGG
rnacentral:rRNA from 1 species